AGAGUUUGAUUAUGGCUCAGAACGAACGCUGGCGGCGGGCCUCAUACGUGCAAGUCGAGCGCGAAAGUCCGCAAGGAUGAGUAAAGCGGCGCACGGGUGAGUAACACGUGGAUAAUCUACCCUUUGGAUUGGAAUAACCUGUCGAAAGACGGGCUAAUGCCGAGUAAGCUCUCGGGAGCGUGAAGCUCUUGCGAGGAAAGAUGGCGCAAGCUAUCGCCGAUGGAUGAGUCUGCGUCCCAUUAGUUAGUUGGUGAGGUAACAGCUUACCAAGACGAUGAUGGGUACCUGGUCUGAGAGGAUGAUCAGGCACACUGGAACUGAAACACGGUCCAGACUCCUACGGGAGGCAGCAGUAGGGAAUAUUGCGCAAUGGACGAAAGUCUGACGCAGCCACGCCGCGUGAGUGAGGAAGGCCUUCGGGUCGUAAAGCUCUGUCAUCCGGGAAAAACGGCUAUCUGGGGAAAGUUCAGGUAGCGUGAUGGUACCGGAGGAGGAAGCACCGGCAAACUCUGUGCCAGCAGCCGCGGUAAUACAGAGGGUGCAAGCGUUGUUCGGAAUUACUGGGCGUAAAGCGUGCGCAGUCGGUAUUGAGAGUCACGGGUGAAAUCCCAGGGCUUAACCCUGGAACUGCCUGUGAGACCUCAGUACUAGAGUGUGAGAGGGGAUAGUGGAAUACCCAGUGUAGCGGUGAAAUGCGUAGAGAUUGGGUGGAACACCGGUGGCGAAGGCGGCUAUCUGGCUCACAACUGACGAUCAGGCACGAAAGCGUGGGGAGCAAACAGGAUUAGAUACCCUGGUAGUCCACGCCGUAAACUAUGCACACAAGCUGUAGUGGGAUUUUACUCCUGCUGUGGCGAAGCUAACGCGAUUAGUGUGCCGCCUGGGGAGUACGGUCGCAAGACUAAAACUCAAAUGAAUUGACGGGG
rnacentral:rRNA from 1 species